CUUCCUCGAUCUGCUGGGGCGCGAUGAAAUGGAUAUGGCUAUCCAUGCCCCCGGCGGUCAGAAUCCGGCCUUCGCCGGCAAUGACCUCGCUCGAGGGCCCGAUGACGAUGGUCACGCCGGGCUGGGUAUCGGGAUUGCCGGCCUUGCCGAUCCCGUGGAUGAACCCGUCCUUGAGGCCGAUAUCGGCCUUGUAGAUGCCGGUAUGGUCGACGAUCAGCGCAUUGGUGAUGACGGUGUCGACGGCGCCCUGUGCGCGCGUCGCCUGGCUCUGGCCCAUGCCGUCGCGGAUG
rnacentral:sRNA from 1 species